rnacentral:rRNA from 1 species
AGAGUUUGAUCAUGGCUCAGGACGAACGCUGGCGGCGUGCUUAACACAUGCAAGUCGAGCGGUAAGGCCUCUUCGGGGGUACACGAGCGGCGAACGGGUGAGUAACACGUGGGUGACCUGCCCCUUACUCUGGGAUAAGCCUGGGAAACUGGGUCUAAUACCGGAUAUGACUACAUGUCGCAUGGUGUGUGGUGGAAAGAUUUUUUGGUGGGGGAUGGGCCCGCGGCCUAUCAGCUUGUUGGUGGGGUGAUGGCCUACCAAGGCGACGACGGGUAGCCGGCCUGAGAGGGCGACCGGCCACACUGGGACUGAGACACGGCCCAGACUCCUACGGGAGGCAGCAGUGGGGAAUAUUGCGCAAUGGGCGGAAGCCUGACGCAGCGACGCCGCGUGGGGGAUGACGGCCUUCGGGUUGUAAACCUCUUUCGGCCCCGACGAAGCGUGAGUGACGGUAGGGGUAGAAGAAGCACGGCCAACUACGUGCCAGCAGCCGCGGUA